GCAUCGGUGGCUUAGUGGUAGAAUGCUCGCCUGCCACGCGGGCGGCCCGGGUUCGAUUCCCGGCGAUGCA
rnacentral:tRNA from 1 species